rnacentral:rRNA from 1 species
AAAGCCUCUAAGCAUCAGGUAACAUCAAAUCGUACCCCAAACCGACACAGGUGGUCAGGUAGAGAAUACCAAGGCGCUUGAGAGAACUCGGGUGAAGGAACUAGGCAAAAUGGUGCCGUAACUUCGGGAGAAGGCACGCUGACAUGUAGGUGAAGCCCCUGCGGGUGGAGCUGAAGUCAGUCGAAGAUACCAGCUGGCUGCAACUGUUUAUUAAAAACACAGCACUGUGCAAACACGAAAGUGGACGUAUACGGUGUGACGCCUGCCCGGUGCCGGAAGGUUAAUUGAUGGGGUUAUCGCAAGAGAAGCUCCUGAUCGAAGCCCCGGUAAACGGCGGCCGUAACUAUAACGGUCCUAAGGUAGCGAAAUUCCUUGUCGGGUAAGUUCCGACCUGCACGAAUGGCGUAAUGAUGGCCAGGCUGUCUCCACCCGAGACUCAGUGAAAUUGAACUCGCUGUGAAGAUGCAGUGUACCCGCGGCAAGACGGAAAGACCCCGUGAACCUUUACUACAGCUUGACACUGAACAUUGAGCCUUGAUGUGUAGGAUAGGUGGGAGGCUUUGAAGCGUGGACGCCAGUCUGCGUGGAGCCAACCUUGAAAUACCACCCUUUAAUGUUUGAUGUUCUAACCUGGCGCCGUGAUCCGGCGUGGGGACAGUGUCUGGUGGGUAGUUUGACUGGGGCGGUCUCCUCCCAAAGUGUAACGGAGGAGCACGAAGGUCAGCUAAUCCUGGUCGGACAUCAGGAGGUUAGUGCAAUGGCAUAAGCUGGCUUGACUGCGAGAGUGACGGCUCGAGCAGGUGCGAAAGCAGGUCAUAGUGAUCCGGUGGUUCUGUAUGGAAGGGCCAUCGCUCAACGGAUAAAAGGUACUCCGGGGAUAACAGGCUGAUACCGCCCAAGAGUUCAUAUCGACGGCGGUGUUUGGCACCUCGAUGUCGGCUCAUCACAUCCUGGGGCUGAAGUAGGUCCCAAGGGUAUGGCUGUUCGCCAUUUAAAGUGGUACGCGAGCUGGGUUUAGAACGUCGUGAGACAGUUCGGUCCCUAUCUGCCGUGGGCGCUGGAGAAUUGAGGGGGGCUGCUCCCAGUACGAGAGGACCGGAGUGGACGCAUCACUGGUGUUCGGGUUGUCAUGCCAAUGGCACUGCCCGGUAGCUAAAUGCGGAAGAGAUAAGUGCUGAAAGCAUCUAAGCACGAAACUUGCCCCGAGAUGAGUUCUCCCUGAGACUAUAAGUCUCCUGAAGGAACGUUGAAGACGACGACGUUGAUAGGCCGGGUGUGUAAGCGCAGCGAUGCGUUGAGCUAACCGGUACUAAUGAACCGUGAGGCUUAACCUU